GAUGAACGCUGGCGGCGUGCCUAAUACAUGCAAGUCGAGCGAACAGACGAGGAGCUUGCUCCUCUGACGUUAGCGGCGGACGGGUGAGUAACACGUGGAUAACCUACCUAUAAGACUGGGAUAACUUCGGGAAACCGGAGCUAAUACCGGAUAAUAUAUUGAACCGCAUGGUUCAAUAGUGAAAGACGGUUUUGCUGUCACUUAUAGAUGGAUCCGCGCCGCAUUAGCUAGUUGGUAAGGUAACGGCUUACCAAGGCAACGAUGCGUAGCCGACCUGAGAGGGUGAUCGGCCACACUGGAACUGAGACACGGUCCAGACUCCUACGGGAGGCAGCAGUAGGGAAUCUUCCGCAAUGGGCGAAAGCUCGACGGAGCAACGCCGCGUGAGUGAUGAAGGUCUUCGGAUCGUAAAACUCUGUUAUUAGGGAAGAAUAAAUGUGUAAGUAACUAUGCACGUCUUGACGGUACCUAAUCAGAAAGCCACGGCUAACUACGUG
rnacentral:rRNA from 1 species